AGGUCAAGCUAAUAAGGGCGCAAGGGGAAUGCCUUGGCAUUGGAAGCCGACGAAGGACGUAGCGAUCUACGAUAAGCCACGGGAAGACGAAAGCAGUCCUUGAUCCGUGGAUUUCCGAAUGGGGAAACCCGAUUGAGCAAUACUCAAUCAACCCUUUGUGAAUUAAAUAGCAAUUGGUAGGGAACCGCCUGAACUGAAACAUCUAAGUAGGGCGAGGAAGAGAAAUCAACCGAGAUUCCGCUAGUAGUGGCGAGCGAACGCGGAAGAGGCCAAACCAAGAGUAGUAAUACUUUUGGGGUUUUGGACAGCGUAAGGUAUUAACAACGGUUAGUUGAAUGAAAUGGGAAGUUCAACCAUAGAGCGUGAGAGUCGCGUAAACGAAAACUGAAGUUAGCCGGCUGGAUCCAGAGUACCGCCGGACACGUGAAACCCGGUGGGAAGACGGGGGGACCACCCUCCAAGCCUAAAUACUCUCCAAUGACCGAUAGUGUAAAGUACUGUGAAGGAAAGGUGAAAAGAACCCCUGGCGGGGAGUGAAAAAGAACCUGAAACCUUGUGCCUACAAGCACAUAGAGCGCGUCAAAGCGUGAUAUGGUACCUUUUGUAGAAUGGUCCGGCGAGUGAAUGUCACUAGCAAGGUUAAUGACUUAAGGUCAGGAGCCGCAGCGAAAGCGAGUCUUAAUAGGGCGACAUUAGUUAGUGGUAUUCGACCCGAAACCGAGUGACCUAGCCAUGAGCAGGCUGAAGUGGAGGUAAAACUCCAUGGAGGGCCGAACCCACUCCCGUUGAAAUGGUAGGGGAUGACUUGUGGCUAGCGGAGAAAUUCCAAUCGAACUCGGAGAUAGCUGGUUCUCUCCGAAAUAGCUUUAGGGCUAGCCUCAAUAUACAUUACCGCAGGUAAAGCACUGAAUGAGCUAGGGGGCGAAAGCUUACUGAACUCUAUCAAACUAAGAAUGGCGGAUAAUGAAAUAUUGGGAGUCACACUACGUGAGAUAAGUUUCGUGGUGGAAAGGGAAACAGCCCAGACCCACAGCUAAGGUCCCAAAGUACGGUUAAGUGGAAAAGGAUGUGGAGUUGCACAGACAACCAGGAUGUUGGCUCAGAAGCAGCCACUCAUUUAAAGAGUGCGUAAUAGCUCACUGGUCGAGUGAUUCUGCGCCGAAAAUUUAACGGGGCUAAAUCGUACACCGAAGCUUGGGAAUAUACAUUUGUAUGUUGGUAGGAGAGCGUUGUAUGCGGGGUGAAGUCAUAGCGAAAGCGGUGGUGGACUGCAUACAAGUGAGAAUGCCGGAAUGAGUAGCGAGAAUUAUGUGAGAAUCAUAAUGGCCGAAAGACUAAGGUUUUAGAAGGAAGGUUCGUCCGCUUCUAGUUAGCCGGGAGCUAAGGCGAGGCCGA
rnacentral:rRNA from 1 species